rnacentral:rRNA from 1 species
AACGUACGCUGGCGGCACGCCUAACACAUGCAAGUCGAACGAAGUAGCAAUACUUAGUGGCAGACGGGUGAGUAACAUGUAGGUAUCUGCCCUUUGGCCUGGAAUAACACGAGGAAACUUGUGCUAAUACCGGAUAAGUCUUUACAGAGAAAGCUUUAUGCACCAUUGGAUGAGCCUGCACUUGAUUAGUUUGUUGGUGGGGUAAUGGCCUACCAAGACUGUGAUCAAUAGCUGAUUUGAGAGGAUGAUCAGCCACAUUGGGACUGAGACACGGCCCAAACUCCUACGGGAGGCAGCAGUGGGGAAUCUUGCACAAUGGAGGAAACUCUGAUGCAGCGAUGCCGCGUGAGUGAAGAAGGCCCUUGGGUUGUAAAGCUCUUUCGUCGGGGAAGAAAAUGACUGUACCCGAAUAAGAAGGUCCGGCUAACUUCGUGCCAGCAGCCGCGGUAAUACGAAGGGACCUAGCGUAGUUCGGAAUUACUGGGCUUAAAGAGUUCGUAGGUGGUUGAAAAAGUUGGUGGUGAAAUCCCAGAGCUUAACUCUGGAACUGCCAUCAAAACUUUUCAGCUAGAGUAUGAUAGAGGAAAGCAGAAUUUCUAGUGUAGAGGUGAAAUUCGUAGAUAUUAGAAAGAAUACCAAUUGCGAAGGCAGCUUUCUGGAUCAUUACUGACACUGAGGAACGAAAGCAUGGGUAGCGAAGAGGAUUAGAUACCCUCGUAGUCCAUGCCGUAAACGAUGUGUGUUAGACGUCGGAAAUUUAUUUUCAGUGUCGCAGCGAAAGCGAUAAACACACCGCCUGGGGAGUACGACCGCAAGGUUAAAACUCAAAUGAAUUGACGGGGACCCGCACAAGUAGUGGAGCAUGUGGUUUAAUUCGAAGAUACGCGCAGAACCUUACCAACACUUGACAUGUUCGUCGCGACUCUAAGAGAUUAGAGUUUUCGGUUCGGCCGGACGAAACACAGGUGCUGCAUGGCUGUCGUCAGCUCGUGUCGUGAGAUGUUGGGUUAAGUCCCGCAACGAGCGCAACCCUCACUUUUAGUUGCCAUCAUUAAGUUGGGCACUCUGAAAGAACUGCCAGUGAUAAGCUGGAGGAAGGUGGGGAUGACGUCAAGUCCUCAUGGCCCUUACGUGUUGGGCUACACACGUGCUACAAUGGUAUCUACAACAGGAAGCAAGACUGCGAAGUUAAGCAAAUCCCUAAAAGAUACCUCAGUUCGGAUUGCACUCUGCAACUCGAGUGCAUGAAGCUGGAAUUACUAGUAAUCGUGGAUCAGCGUGCCACGGUGAAUGCGUUCCCGGGUCU